CUCCCGGCGUCGCAAGGCAGCCACGGCUUGUGUGUCUUUUGUGUGUCCCCCUCCUGGCAGCUAAUUGGCUGCCGGCUGCUUGACGUCACAAUUGGGAGUUUCUUUAUGUCCUCCUAAACAUAACGGGCUCCGGACAAGUUUCUGGGCUGCCAAGAUUACUCGCAGGGCGCGCAGAAGGUGCCCGAAGGGAGGGGACGGGGGCUGGCCGGGGAACCCGCCGCAGAGUUUACUUCCAAGGCCGACGGCUGCAUGAGGCGCGCCCGUCCCACCGAGCCCUGCGUGCACUUGGCGACCCUGGCUCUUUUCCAGCGUGCCUGGAGCAGCCGAGACUAGAGCGCUUGCAAAGGUUAAGUGGUCGGGGACGCCGGGUCGGUCACGCAGGGGGCGCUGAGAAGCGGGGCUCCCGUGCGGGGAGCGCGCAUUUUUCCCAGGCUUGCGGGAGGCGCGCGAGGCUGCGGAGGGGAUCGGAACUUUUUAGAGGGAUGGGGACGGUGUGCUCCGCCGGCUUGGCGCACCCCACGAUGAGCGCGAACGCCAGCGGCGGCCAGAGCGCGGGCAACUCGACCCAGCCGCCGACCCCGUCAGAGAGCUGGCUCGUGGGCAUGGGCAUCCUCAUGUCGCUGAUUGUGCUGGCGAUCGUCUUCGGCAACGUGCUGGUGAUCACUGCCAUCGCCAGAUUCCAGAGGCUGCAGACCGUGACCAACUAUUUCAUCACCUCCUUGGCUUGUGCGGACCUCCUGAUGGGGCUUGCGGUUGUCCCUUUCGGGGCCAGUCACAUCAUGCUGAACACGUGGAAGUUUGGAAACUUCUGGUGCGAGUUUUGGACUUCUAUCGAUGUGCUGUGUGUCACGGCCAGUAUUGAGACCCUCUGCGUCAUUGCCGUGGACAGGUACUUUGCCAUCACUUCUCCUUUUAAAUAUCAAAGCCUCUUGACCAAGAAUAAAGCCAGGCUGGUCAUCCUGCUUGUCUGGAUAGUGUCUAUCCUGACAUCCUUCUUGCCUAUCCAGAUGCAGUGGCACAGAGCCAAUGACGACGAGGCCCACAGAUGCUACAAGGAUGCCACCUGUUGUGACUUCUUCACCAACUCAGAAUAUGCCAUCACUUCCUCCAUCAUCUCCUUCUACAUCCCUCUGGUGGUCAUGAUUUUUGUCUAUGCCCGGGUUUUCCAAGUUGCCCAGAAGCAGCUAAAGAAGAUAGACAAAUGUGAAGGGCGGUUCCAUCAGCACAGCACUGCCCUGCAGGAGCAGAAUGAUGGAAGGGUGAGUCACAGGAGAGCGUCCAAGUUCUUCCUGAAGGAACACAAAGCUCUAAAAACCCUGGGCAUCAUCAUGGGCACCUUUACGUUGUGUUGGCUCCCGUUCUUCAUAGUCAAUAUUGUCUACGUCAUCUGUCCCAAUCGCAUCCCCAAAUUUGUGUACAUCUUUUUGAACUGGGUAGGUUAUGUCAAUUCAGCCUUCAACCCCUUGAUCUACUGCCGCAGCCCAGACUUCAGGUAUGCUUUCCAGGAGAUUCUCUGCUUCCGGAGGUCUGCCCUGAAAAUGUAUGUCAAUGGAUAUUCAAACAGCAAUGGGAAAGCUGACUUCAUUGGGGAUCACAAUGGCUAUCCUAUGCAAGAAGAGAAGAUUAACAAACUGCUGAGCGAAGAAGGAGGCCCCCCUUCGGGGGAAGAAUUUUUACACUGUAAAGGUACUGUCUUGCAUGGUAGUACUGAAUCCCAGGGGACUGAGUGUAAUACACAUGAUUCCUCCUUAGCAGGGUUUUCAUUAUGCCCAUAUGACUUUUAAACAGGGAAACUAAUGUUAUGGCUUUUGCUCAAACAAAACUGAGCACAAGUUGUACCAGUCUAUGGGAGGUGGCCUGUGCUGGUUCAUCAGUAGGCUAUGCAAAGUACUUCAGGAAAGAGCAUUUGGAUUUGCCUGAGUUCAUGUUAGAGUCUUUUCUUCAGCCAAGAGUCAAGAGAUUCCCGGAUGUCCUGGAAUGGUUGACAGUUGAAUGGGCCAAGCAUUCCUCCUCACCAGCUGCAACUCAAAGAAGUCUGUGAAGAGACAAACCCAAGUUCAGCCCUACUUCUAUCAGUAUGGGGAACUACUGUCCUUUUCCCCAGACAUUUCUUUAUGGAGAAGAAACAGAAAGGGCAGCUAGUAAGCCAAGAAACCAGACUGAGAAAUGUGGGGAAAGUGAAGCAAAUGAACCAUUUCAAGGACCCAACUACAUUAACAGAAUCAGUUCUGUAAAACAGUCAUGUUUGAGGUAGGAUUGGGGGAAACUACAUACACAGUACAAUAGUGAACGGUUUUUUCUCCCCAAGCCAAAAGAUGUGAGUCCCUAGAGGCGCCAUAAGAGUUAACAAGUUUCUCACCCACUCUGUGUCUACAGCAAAUAUUUUCAAGAGACUGAACAUUUUCAAGAGUACAUUUCUUUCAUUAUUCACUUGUGGAAGAAACAUCAAACAUCUGGCUUCCAGGUGGAAGCAGUAGAAUGCUGGGAUGAUGACUAUAUCUAUAGCCAGCCCAAGCCAUUCAAAUGUGAGAAGGACCUUGGAAGGAAUAAACACAGAGGCACCACAACAACUCAGUUGGUUAAUACUGUGCUUUAUAUGCUAGCGUCUGAAAGCUUUUUACUGACUCCUUUUUUCCCAAGCCAACGUCCCUAGAGUCAUGUGAUACCAUACAGCUGUGGGUAAAUUAUCACUCUGGGAUAGAAUUUAACAACUUUUCCUCAGCUUGUUCAGACACAGCUCUUAAUGAUAUGGCUUUCAUGCAGUCUAAGAAAGGACCGGAACUGGGGACCUGAAGGGCCCAAGAUUAUAAGGCAGCUGCACUAUUUUUAUUUUUUGUUUACUUUUCAACAUCCAGAUGCUCAUCAUUUACAUUUUUGGGAAGCCAAUUUUUCAUGCAUGAGCCUAAAAUGGUGACAGAAUAACUGAAUAUUUCUUUUCGAAUCUUGAGAGGGCUGAAAUUAAUUACUCGUCUCCCUUCAGAUAAUGCCGUCAGGUCCUGUCCCAGCUGCAAGGAGGCAGUUAGACCAUUCCAUACCUUGGACGGAGGGAAAGAAGCUCUAUGCAGUGUUUGAAAAAGACAGAUGAAUGCUGGGGUGGGAGGAUUCUGCUAGGAGGAGAAUAUGGGAGUAAGUGACAGAGGGUGGCUUCGGAAGAGGAAAGAAUCUUCACGUUGUGGUUUUAUACCUAAGCCUCUCUCCCAAUACUGAUAUGUAAAAAUGUAAUAUUUUCCAGCUCGGCUUAAAAAUGCAGAAGCCACUAGUUGGUUAUUUUGUUAAAGACUCUGUCCCAUAAGACUUAAGGGAUGCCUGGAGCUGUUCACAAAUUAUUUUCAGAUGUCUAUGAAUAUUGUAUAAUAAAUCACAGGUGUCAAACU